UAUAACCACACAGCGCCUCGUUCUCUCUAAAAACUUCAUCAUCAAACCACCUCUCUUCUCCAUCCUGCCUUCCUUCCUUCUCUCCUUCCAUCCAUCGUCCUCUUCGCGUGUCUAGGGUUUCCUGAAUUCUCCCAUUGUCCUGUGCUUUUUGAUUCGAUAUAGUUUCUUUUUGCUGCUUAGAGAGAGGGUCGUGGUGGUUCUCAAUGGCCACCUCAACUAUGAAGUCUCAGCCUCUCCACAACUUCUCGCUGCCUUUCUUGAAAUGGGGUGGCAAGAAUCAGACGAAUACUAGCCAUCGUUGCCGCCGUCAGACAUCCGGCGACUCCUCCCAACCAAUCGCUGACCAUAACUCUGAGCCGGAGUCGGAAUCCGAAACUCGAGCUUGCAAGGUCGGAUCGAGAACUGCCAGAAACCGAUUUGUGUUCUCUUCGGGCUAUUCUGGAGAGAAAUCUCUGAAGCAACGGGACCAACAUGAGCCUUUAGAGUCAGCGAGUAACAAUGAAACUGAUGAUGAAGCUGGAGUGAGGAAGAGGGAGACAGAGGAGGCUGAAGAAGCUGAAGCUGAAGAUUUAGUGCAGAAGCCAUGGAAUUUGAGGCCCAGAAAACCAAUAUUCUCGAAAGGCACUGGGGAGAUCGGAGGAGGACCGUCGAGGCACGGAGAUUUGGUGGAAACGGCUCCGGCGGUUACCGCUGUUCAUAUGGUUCAGCAAGGUGAUAACCAUCCGCAGCCGAAAUCACGUCACUUGAGGGGUUCCACGGAGACGCAAAAUACGGAGAGAAAGAAGAGAAGAUUAUGGAUCGCUUUGUCAAAAGAAGAGAUUGAAGAGGACGUAUUUGUGAUGACUGGGUCGAGGCCCUCUCGAAGACCUAAGAAAAGACACAAGAAUGUGCAGAAACAACUUGAUUGUGUUUUCCCUGGCUUAUGGUUGGUGGGACUCUCUGCCGAUGCUUACAAGGGGCUAAGUACUCCAGCAAAGAGGUAGAGAGAAGUCGCAGUGGGUUGCAGUUUGCCAAAUGGAUUGAAAAUCUUUGGGCUUCGGUAGAUGUAGAAUCUUGAACGGAGGCCCUACGUUGUUGGGGGGCCAGAGUAGCAAGUAUACAGUUGUUUUUCAAUCCCUCAAUUCAGUUCUGGGUUUAUUAUCGGUGGCAAUCGUGCCCUCUAGCUCUGGGUUGAGCCAUUUUGAAAGAAGAACCGAAAGUUAAUAACCUUGACUGUGUGCUUUGUGAGUGUGCCCUUAAAUACGUCGAUGUUUCAAGUUUAUAAUUUCAUGAAUCCGCUUUUUUAAAAGUGUGCAUGAUAAGUCAUCUUUGGGAUCGUAUGAAGACUAGCGAGAUCGUUCACAAAACUGUGGAGUAGUUUUAGGGCUCUGUUUCUUGUUCUUCUUACCAUUUUUGCUGUGUGCUUUAAAAGAAAGUAACAAGGUAAGGGGCCUUGUCAGUUUGUGCCGUUUUGUGCUUUGACAUACUGGCAAGUUCUCAU